CACGAGAGGGAAGCAAAGAUGCUGGAGCCUGGAACCCCCCUGAGCCUGACUCAAAAGAGACCCAUCUGAAGGAUGCACGGGAGGAGGAGACUGGAAGAAGUGGGAAAGUCAGGGGCCGCGGCAUGGCCCCAAGGGGAAUGGGCCGCGCUGAGACAUGUGCGGUCCUGUGCAUUUUUACUUUAAAUAACUGCGAAC